CAGCAGCCGCGGGAAUACGUAGGUGGCAAGCGUUGUCCGGAAUUAUUGGGCGUAAAGGGCUCGCAGGCGGUUUCUUAAAUCUGAUGUGAAAGCCCCCGGCUCAACCGGGGAGGGUCAUUGGAAACUGGGAAACUUGAGUGCAGAAGAGGAGAGUGGAAUUCCACGUGUAGCGGUGAAAUGCGUAGAGAUGUGGAGGAACACCAGUGGCGAAGGCGACUCUCUGGUCUGUAACUGACGCUGAGGAGCGAAAGCGUGGGGAGUGAACAGGAUUAGAUACCCCGGUAGUCCCUGUCUCUUAUAC
rnacentral:rRNA from 1 species